rnacentral:rRNA from 1 species
GGGCGGAUUAGUGGCGAACGGGUGAGUAACACGUGAGUAACCUGCCCUUGACUCUGGGAUAAGCCCGGGAAACUGGGUCUAAUACCGGAUAGGAGCGCCUGUCGCAUGACGGGUGCUGGAAAGAUUUUUCGGUCAUGGAUGGACUCGCGGCCUAUCAGCUUGUUGGUGAGGUAAUGGCUCACCAAGGCGACGACGGGUAGCCGGCCUGAGAGGGUGACCGGCCACACUGGGACUGAGACACGGCCCAGACUCCUACGGGAGGCAGCAGUGGGGAAUAUUGCACAAUGGGCGGAAGCCUGAUGCAGCGACGCCGCGUGAGGGAUGACGGCCUUCGGGUUGUAAACCUCUUUCAGUAGGGAAGAAGCGAAAGUGACGGUACCUGCAGAAGAAGCACCGGCUAACUACGUGCCAGCAGCCGCGGUAAUACGUAGGGUGCGAGCGUUAUCCGGAAUUAUUGGGCGUAAAGAGCUCGUAGGCGGUUUGUCGCGUCUGUCGUGAAAGUCCGGGGCUUAACCCCGGAUCUGCGGUGGGUACGGGCAGACUAGAGUGCAGUAGGGGAGACUGGAAUUCCUGGUGUAGCGGUGGAAUGCGCAGAUAUC